rnacentral:rRNA from 1 species
UACGUAGGGUGCGAGCGUUAAUCGGAAUUACUGGGCGUAAAGCGUGCGCAGGCGGCUUUGUAAGACAGGUGUGAAAUCCCCGGGCUUAACCUGGGAACUGCAUUUGUGACUGCAUCGCUGGAGUGCGGCAGAGGGGGAUGGAAUUCCGCGUGUAGCAGUGAAAUGCGUAGAUAUGCGGAGGAACACCGAUGGCGAAGGCAAUCCCCUGGGCCUGCACUGACGCUCAGGCACGAAAGCGUGGGGAGCAAACAGG